rnacentral:rRNA from 1 species
UACGUAGGGGGCAAGCGUUGUCCGGAAUCAUUGGGCGUGAAGAGCGUGUAGGCGGCCCGGUAAGUCCGCUGUGAAAGUCCAGGGCUCAACCCUGGGAUGCCGGUGGAUACUGUCGGGCUCGAGUCCGGAAGAGGAGUGUGGAAUUCCUGGUGUAGCGGUGAAAUGCGCAGAUAUCAGGAGGAACACCAAUGGCGAAGGCAGCACUCUGGGACGUGACUGACGCUGAGGCGCGAAAGCGUGGGGAGCGAACAGG